GUCGUUUCUAUCAAAAAAAAAAUCCAGUUUUGUUUCUUGAUUUAUGCUCAUCUGCUUGAUUUGAUUUUUGCUUUUAGUAUUGGCUGCUAUUAAUUUUCUUUUAAAUCCCUUCUAAUCAAUUGUAGAGUCAAUCUGGAAAGUUUCACAAUGAACUUGAUGGGGAGAUUUUCAGAGGGCUGUUCUAUAGACGGAAAUGAGGAUGAUUAUUCAAAUUUUAUGUAGACGGAAAGCUUCGCUAUGAACUUGUGGGCUUCCUUUCCCUUGAAAGACGAUCUCAGAGUCUGGUUUGGCAGGUCUUAUGCGUUCAUGGUGUGUGCUUGCUUGCAAUAUAGUUGGGCCUGCUGUUUCUAUUUGCACGAGGAGGAGAAAAGAAUUUUUGACGGAGAGGAGAGAAGUAAUGAAAUGAGAGGAGUCGAGAGGAUUGUGGGUGAAGGGAAUCAAGGUUUUGGGUUGAGGUGAUUUUGGAUGAUAAAUCUGCUAGAAUGCUAUUUUACUCUUUGUGAUCCUAUUAUUGUAUAUAUGGGUCCGGAUGAGCUGAAGACAAGAAUUUACAACGCGCGCUGGUCAUCCAACCUCGUUGUAACACGAGUUGAAGCUGGUGCCGACGACCAACGAUAAAUUUCCAACAACGGACAUCCGACAUCGAACAUAAAGCAACACUGACGACUGAAUUCAACCCGGUUCCAACACCAAACUCUCUCAUUUUUUUUGGCCACAAAUCUUUCUGAGGGGAGCUUAAAAACGAAGAGUUGAAGCUGGCACCGGCGGUUGAUUAUUGAUUUCCGACAACCAACGACCGAUAUCCAACAUCGAACGAAAAGCAGCACAAACGUCUGAAUCCAACCUGG